UACAGAGGGUGCAAGCGUUGCUCGGAAUCAUUGGGCGUAAAGGGUAGGUAGGUGGUCUCGUUUGUCUGGGGUGAAAGCCCAGGGCUUAACCCUGGAAGUGCCCCGGAAACGGCGAGACUGGAGUACUGGAGAGGGUCGUGGAAUUCCCGGUGUAGCGGUGAAAUGCGUAGAGAUCGGGAGGAACACCAGCGGCGAAGGCGGCGACCUGGACAGUUACUGACACUCAACUACGAAAGCGUGGGGAGCAAACAGG
rnacentral:rRNA from 1 species